rnacentral:rRNA from 1 species
AGUGAACGCUGGCGGUAGGCCUAACACAUGCAAGUCGAACGGCAGCACAGUAAGAGCUUGCUCUUACGGGUGGCGAGUGGCGGACGGGUGAGGAAUACAUCGGAAUCUACUUUUUCGUGGGGGAUAACGUAGGGGAACUUACGCUAAUACCGCAUACGACCUACGGGUGAAAGCAGGGGAUCUUCGGACCUUGCGCGAUUGAAUGAGCCGAUGUCGGAUUAGCUAGUUGGCGGGGUAAAGGCCCACCAAGGCGACGAUCCGUAGCUGGUCUGAGAGGAUGGUCAGCCACACUGGAACUGAGACACGGUCCAGACUCCUACGGGAGGCAGCAGUGGGGAAUAUUGGACAAUGGGCGCAAGCCUGGUCCAGCCAUACCGCGUGGGUGAAGAAGGCCUUCGGGUUGUAAAGCCCUUUUGUUGGGAAAGAAAAGCAGCAGGUUAAUACCCCGCUGUUCUGACGGUACCCAAAGAAUAAGCACCGGCUAACUUCGUG